AGUUUUAUUUAGGCUAUCGAUCAGAUUUGAACUGAAAAAGUUGUUCGAAUUGUAAUUUCCGUCUUUGGCAAAAUUUUUGUGCAACUCAACAAGAUUUUCUUGCAACCCCAAAAUUGGAUUUAAAAUGUUUAAUCUUAUAAAAGUCUAUCACAAAGUGAAGAAAAAGGCCAAAUACAAUCUUACCUAAGAAUGGAGUUUUUCUCAAGUGCUACGCGUGGUAUUUGUAGCAGUGGUGAUCGUGACUACAUCGCAUUGUGGGUAAUGAUAGCUUUGGGUUGCACGGCACUAAUCCUUCUUAUUGUGUUUUUGGUUAUAUAUUUUAAGUAACUGUGGUGUACAAUAAAUGUGUAAACUUA